CACGGGGGGAGCAAGCGUUGUUCGGAAUCACUGGGCGUAAAGGGCGUGUAGGCGGUUCGGUAAGUGAGAUGUGAAAUGCUCCGGCUCACCCGGGGACCUGCAUCUCAAACUGCCGGACUAGAGUAUGGGAGAGGAUGAGGGAAUUCCUGGUGUAGCGGUGAAAUGCGUAGAUAUCAGGAGGAACACCGGUGGCGAAAGCGCUCAUCUGGCCCAAUACUGACGCUGAGGCGCGAAAGCUAGGGGAGCAAACGGG
rnacentral:rRNA from 1 species